rnacentral:rRNA from 1 species
UACGUAGGGUGCGAGCGUUAAUCGGAAUUACUGGGCGUAAAGCGUGCGCAGGCGGUUUUGUAAGACAGAUGUGAAAUCCCCGGGCUCAACCUGGGAACUGCGUUUGUGACUGCAAGACUCGAGUGCGGCAGAGGGGGGUGGAAUUCCACGUGUAGCAGUGAAAUGCGUAGAGAUGUGGAGGAACACCGAUGGCGAAGGCAGCCCCCUGGGCCGACACUGGACGCCUCAGGCACGAAAGCGUGGGGAGCAAACAGG